rnacentral:rRNA from 1 species
UCCGGAUUUAUUGGGCGUAAAGCGAGCGCAGGCGGUUAGAUCAGUCUGAAGUUAAAGGCUGUGGCUUAACCAUAGUACGCUUUGGAAACUGUUUAACUNGAGUGCAGAAGGGGAGGGUGGAAUUCCAUGUGUAGCGGUGAAAUGCGUAGAUAUAUGGAGGAACACCGGUGGCGAAAGCGGCUCUCUGGUCUGUAACUGACGCUGAGGCUCGAAAGCGUGGGGAGCGAACAGGAUUAGAUACCCUGGUAGUCCACGCCGUAAACGAUGAGUGCUAGGUGUUAGGCCCUUUCCGGGGCUUAGUGCCGCAGCUAACGCAUUAAGCACUCCGCCUGGGGAGUACGACCGCAAGGUUGAAACUCAAAGGAAUUGACGGGGGCCCGCACAAGCGGUGGAGCAUGUGGUUUAAUUCGAAGCAACGCGAAGAACCUUACCAGGUCUUGACAUCCCGAUGCCCGCUCUAGAGAUAGAGUUUUACUUCGGUACAUCGGUGACAGGUGGCGCAUGGUUGUCGUCAGCUCGUGUCGUGAGAUGUUGGGUUAAGUCCCGCAACGAGCGCAACCCUUAUUGUUAGUUGCCAUCAUUCAGUUGGGCACUCUAGCGAGACUGCCGGUAAUAAACCGGAGGAAGGUGGGGAUGACGUCAAAUCAUCAUGCCCCUUAUGACCUGGGCUACACACGUGCUACAAUGGCUGGUACAACGAGUCGCAAGUCGGUGACGGCAAGCUAAUCUCUUAAAGCCAGUCUCAGUUCGGAUUGUAGGCUGCAACUCGCCUACAUGAAGUCGGAAUCGCUAGUAAUCGCGGAUCAGCACGCCGCGGUGAAUACGUUCCCGGGCCUUGUACACACCGCCCGUCACACCACGAGAGUUUGUAACACCCGAAGUCGGUGAGGUANCCUUUUAGGAGCCA